rnacentral:snRNA from 1 species
GUGCUCACUUCACCAGCACAUAUACUAAAAGUGGAACCAUAUGAGAAAACCAGCAUGACUCUUGAACAAGGAUGACAUGCAAAUACAUGAAGCAUUCCAUGUUUUU